AUGUAAUUAGGCGCUGUGUAAAGUACGAGAGGGCGAGAGACUGCAGAAGUGUGGAAGGCAGGAGUGGGCGAUGAGGAUCAAAUUAAGUGUGUGAGGGCUCUCAUUAAUAUUUUGCAACUAGGUUAGGGUUGAGCAGGAUCGGGGAUGGGAAAAAGAGGAAGGGAAGUACGAAACUAGGGUGGAGACUUGGAGCCAAACAAAAGGGCACAAAGGAGUGAGAUGGAGAGAAUUGUAAAAAGGAAAAUGGAUGAGUAUGAGCCAACGACAUGCCGUGUGAGCGAGGGCCGGUCUACAAAGUGCAGUUGGCCUCUGGUGAGAGUCGACAUUUGGCAACCGUCAGACACCAAGGCCAUCACUGCGACAAUGAGGCUUACGAGGGAAAAAGAGCCCACCACAAGGUCAACCACGAAUAAGAUGGUGUACGUUUUCCCAGCAGAGCGCAAUGUCUGCAGAGACAAACCAGUGUUCUAGAUCACAUCAGGGAUCUGAGCAGAUUCUGUACAGGAGAUGUAAAUGAGUAUGCAUCGAAAGGAUAUAAGUGGAGGAGGAUCUUGAUGGCAGCGGUCCUCACAUGGUUUAAAGGAGUCAGCAGGAAACAAGCAGGAGCAGAAUUAAAUCUGUGGAUGAUCUUUCUUCCAU